CCUACGGGAGGCAGCAGUCGAGAAUCAUUCACAAUGGGGGAAACCCUGAUGGGGCGACGCCGCGUGGGGGAAUGAAGGUCUACGGAGUGUAAACUUCUGUUCUGAGGGAAGAAGAAGGACGGGAGCUAAGGAGCAAGCCACGGCUAACUACGUGCCAGCAGCCGCGGUAAUACGUAGGUGGCAAGCGUUGUCCGGAAUUACGGGGGGUAAAGGGAGCGCAGGCGGGAAGCCAAGUCAGCUGUGAAAACUACGGGCUUAACUUGUAGACUGCAGUUGAAACUGGUUUUCUUGAGUGAAGUAGAGGUUGGCUGCCUUCCGUGUGUCGCGGUGUACUGCGUAGAUAUUCGGAGGAACCCCGGUGGCGAAGGCGGCCCACUGGGCUUUAACUGACGCUGAGGCUCGACCGUGUGGGGAGCACACAGGAUUAGAUCCCCCUGUAGUC
rnacentral:rRNA from 1 species